CAGCAGUGAAGGCAGCACGGCCGCUGAGCAGCAGCAGCAGCAGGAUCGUUACGGCAGCUCCGUUCAUCCUCUCUGCGUCACCGGCAACAGUAUCACCCACAAUACACCUCUGCUCAUCAGACUCCAUUACAGCCAGCUGUGAGCAGCGUGUUGCAGUCUGUGACAACAAAGUCCAAAAACUGUGAGAUUUUAGUCUGGACGCACUUCUGCAGUGUGAGCAGACCGUCGAUGGCUGAGUGAUGAGUUCAGGAAGACGACAGGUCACAGAGGUCACAGAGGUCACAGAGACCCUGAUGACAUCAUCACUCAGAGGAGUGCUGACUGAUCCAGCAUCAGUUCGUAGAAGAGAUUAAAACUGUGAAUGAAGCGAGCGCUGCACGUGCUGCUGAGGAUCAGCUGGUUACAUAACUCUUCUGUUCAUAUCUAAUCUGACCAUGUGAUCCCACACACACACACACACACACACACACACACACACACACACACACACACACACACUGAGUGUUAAGUUGAGUUCCUGCUGGACAGUUUUCAAAGAAAGUUUACUUGUCUUGUUUCUUCUCAUUAAAUCUUUGUGCUGCGUUCAAACUGUAAAUUCUCUCUGUGUGUUCCUGUUUUAAAACUCACACACACAGUGAAUGUUUGUAAAUCAAUACAUCGUGCUUUGUUACCUUGAAUUCCUUGCAUGGCUGCAUGGACAACAGUGAACAUACUGAUUUAUUGAUUGAUUGGGGACCUCAUUUAACAACAGUCCUUUUCAAACAUCAGUAUUUAAAACUGAACUGAAACUGAUCUGAGCUCUCCUCAAAGCCAGACUCAACUCUGAGGUUUUUAGUGCAAAUCAAUCUGAACUAUCAAAAGAGCCAUUUUUGACAAAACAUGAUCCAGAAAAAUCUGCCUGGAGCCGCAAAACAUAUUUGAGCCUCAUGCUAACAGUGUGUAUUUAGUCUAAAUUAGCGUACUGACAUAAAAAUAGGUCUAAAUGAGCAUUUAAUAAUGUUUCACCACCAGGCUCGUCUGCAGUGGUCUGUGAUCUACUCAUUAUUAAUUCUGUAUUUUCCUCCGAGAUUUUAACUUUUAUGGAUUUGGAAUGCAUUUUUAGCCGAGACAGGGAGUUUAGAGGAACAGGCACCAGGCUGUGGACGUGUGACGCACGGUUUAGUUGACGAAAUGUUACAACUAAGUGCACAUUUUUACAGGCAGAGAAUGUAGGGAUUUAUUUAGGCCUACAACAGUGACAAAUAAGAAUGAAAAUGUUAAAAAAAAUAAAAAUAAAUAAGUAAA